rnacentral:rRNA from 1 species
UACGUAGGGUGCGAGCGUUAAUCGGAUUUACUGGGCGUAAAGCGCGCGUAGGUGGUUCAGUCAGUCAGAUGUGAAAGCCCCGGGCUCAACCUGGGAAUUGCACCUGAUACUGCUGAGCUAGAGUACGGUAGAGGGUAGUGGAAUUUCCGGUGUAGCGGUGAAAUGCGUAGAGAUCGGAAGGAACACCAGUGGCGAAGGCGACUACCUGGACCGAUACUGACACUGAGGUGCGAAAGCGUGGGUAGCAAACAGG